rnacentral:rRNA from 1 species
UACAGAGGGUGCGAGCGUUGUCCGGAAUCACUGGGCGUAAAGGGCGCGUAGGCGGCUUGUUGCGUCGGCUGUGAAAUCCCGAGGCUCAACCUCGGGUCUGCAGUCGAUACGAGCAAACUAGAGUGUUGCAGGGGGAGACUGGAAUUCCUGGUGUAGCGGUGAAAAUGCGCAGAUAUCAGGAGGAACACCGGUGGCGAAGGCGGGUCUCUGGGCAACAACUGACGCUGAGGUGCGAAAAGCGUGGGGGGAGCAAAACAGGAUUUAGAU